AACGUAGGACGCAAGCGUUAUCCGGAAUUACUGGGCGUAAAGGGCGUGCAGGCGGUCUUUUAAGUUAGGCGUGAAAGCUCCCGGCUAAACCGGGAGAGGUCGUCUGAUACUGGGAGACUAGAGUAUGGUAGAGGCGUGUAGAAUUCCGCGUGUAGUGGUGAAAUGCGUAGAGAUGCGGAGGAAUACCAGUGGCGAAGGCGGCACGCUGGGCCAUAACUGACGCUAAGACGCGAAAGCAUGGGUAGCGAACGGG
rnacentral:ncRNA from 2 species